rnacentral:rRNA from 1 species
GCCGGCGGAUGCUUACACAUGCAGUCGAUUCAAGUUACCUUCGGGUAAUGAGGAUGGCGGACGGGUGAGUAACGCGUAAGGAACUUGCCUCUUGGACUGGGACAACUGUUGGAAACGACAGCUAAUACCGGAUAUUAUGAGAUUCUCGCAUGAGAAACUUAUGAAAGCUAUAUGCGCCAAGAGAGAGCCUUGCGUUCCAUUAGCUAGUUGGUGGGGUAACGGCCCACCAAGGCGACGAUGGAUAGCCGGCCUGAGAGGGUGAACGGCCACAAGGGGACUGAGACACGGCCCUUACUCCUACGGGAGGCAGCAGUGGGGAAUAUUGGACAAUGGGCCACAAGCCUGAUCCAGCAAUUCUGUGUGCACGAUGAAGGUCUUCGGAUUGUAAAGUGCUUUCAGUUGGGAAGAAGAAAGUGACGGUACCAACAGAAGAAGCGACGGCUAAAUACGUGCCAGCAGCCGCGGUAAUACGUAUGUCGCAAGCGUUAUCCGGAUUUAUUGGGCGUAAAGCGCGUCUAGGCGGAAAAAUAAGUCUGAUGUUAAAAUGCGGGGCUCAACUCCGUAUUGCGUUGGAAACUGUUUUUCUAGAGUACUGGAGAGGUGGGCGGAACUACAAGUGUAGAGGUGAAAUUCGUAGAUAUUUGUAGGAAUGCCGAUGGAGAAGUCAGCUCACUGGACAGAUACUGACGCUAAAGCGCGAAAGCGUGGGGAGCAAACAGGAUUAGAUACCCUGGUAGUCCACGCCGUAAACGAUGAUCACUAGGUGUUGGGGGUCGAACCUCAGCGCCCAAGCUAACGCGAUAAGUGAUCCGCCUGGGGAGUACGCACGCAAGUGUGAAACUCAAAGGAAUUGACGGGGACCCGCACAAGCGGUGGAGCAUGUGGUUUAAUUCGACGCAACGCGAGAAACCUUACCAGCGUUUGACAUCCUAAGAAGUUUCCAGAGAUGGAUUCGUGCCGGCUUGCCGGAACUUGAUGACAGGUGGUGCAUGGCUGUCUUCAGCUCGUGUC